rnacentral:snRNA from 1 species
AGCUUUGCACAGUGGCAGUAUCAUAGCCAAUGAGGUUUAUCUGAGGCGCAAUUAUUGCUAAUUGAAAAAUAAAAGUAUUCAUUUUCUGUGUGUAGUAUCUCAUGUAAUAUCUUAUGUUAUUGACAUCUGUUA